UCAGUGAGAAACUGCAUUUCAUUCAAACAGGUCAUUUUGUAAUAGAAACAAAACAAAACAAAACAGAGCAAGCCGUCGUUUGAAGGAGAGAAAAUGAGGUCUCCGGCUUUCAUGGGCUCCUGGGAUCAGCCUCGGGAGCCUGCCAGCACCCGCACGCACACACUGACCUUUAAAGAGAAAGGAAAACACGCAACGCAAAGAGGUGGGGGCAACCCACACCGGGCGGCCUUGUCAGCGUGCGGGGGGGGGGAACGUCGGCAGGUAAUUACGACAACGCCGCGCUCCCUCGGCGGCGACGUGGUGAUUCAGUUUCUGAGCACUUGGCCUUCCUAAAAUCUCCCCGAGGACAACAUCUGAUAUGAUAACAAAGAGUUGUUUGGCAAGCAGCGCCGUAUCCUCUCUACUCCAGAUCUCGCUCUUAAGUCCCUUUACGAUUGUCGGAAGAUUUCGGGAGAGAAACGGCGUGACAUAAAACAACCUCGCCCGACGCCGCCACUUGUUGCUUUGCGCUCUCCUGCAAUUCGAUGACAGUGAGCCCUCGCUUUUCUGCAUCAAAACUCUGACGCGAAUAGCAAAAAUGUGUACCGUAUUUCAGCCUGUCAUGCAUGUUUUGGGAAUGCGGGAGGAAACCGGAACACCCGGAGAAAACCCACGCAGGCACGGGGAGAACAUGCAGACUACACACAGGGAGGCCGGAGCUGGAAUUGAACCCGGUACCUCUUCACUGUGAGGUCGAUGCGCUAACCACUGGACCAACGGGCUGCCUGCAAUAUUUUAGUUUAGAUUUUUUUUUUUUCUUAGUUUUUUCACAAACCUUUUGGUAGUUAUUACGUGAGGUUUUCCUGUGCCUGGUCUGAAAACAGCGCGGCCUCGCUGGGAAAGGAAUCUAUCUUUUCAUCGCGACCGUUAUCAUCCGAGACGAGCCCAGUUGACCCCUUGAUUACCUCGGCGGCGUGGCAUUUUCUCUUGGCCGACCCCUGGAAGGAGCCAGCGCGCCGCUCCGCAACAAGCGCUCGGCUGUCGACAUACCGAAGACAUUUAAGAUAAUCCCGGAGAUGUCUCUGUGUUUCCCAAGAUUGCAUCUUCAAAGGGAACGUCGGCCCGCUACCUCCACUUGAAAGGGAGAGAGAGACGAGCGGCGCCCUUGUCGUGAAGGAGGGUCAGACUAGCACAAGAAUGUAAUCAUGCUAUUGGAAGGGGCGGGGUGGGUGCGGCUAGCGAAGCUGUGGGAGCAAAUAAAAAAAAGUGGGGGAAGCUUGUUUUGACACCAAAGGUGUGUGAGAGGGGGGGGGGGUGACCUGUUGGCCAUGCGGACUCUCACCUGUGUGACCUGACAAAAAGUUGUAAAUCAAACACACACACACACAGGUCAUGCCUGGCCCGUCCCAGCUUUUUACGAUGUUUGCUUUGUUGACAUGGUCAGCGUUAGCGGGUAAAGUACACAGGUGUCAAGAAUUCCAUCCCGGAAUGACUAACAGAGAUACCUUGAUGUUUAAACAUGAAAAAAAAACAAUGAAAAAAAUUAUGGUGAACUCUUCCAUGAUUGUGCCAUGAAAAAUCAUGAGGAAUGCUGCAUGAUAUUAAAUAUAUUUCACUUA